rnacentral:misc_RNA from 1 species
GCAUUUGUCAAGGAUAGAGAAUUCCAAAGCUUUUUUGCAAAGGGUUGUGUGCUGAUUCAUGUUUCAGUGGCCUUUUGGAGAAUUUACUUUGAGUGGAAGCUUGAAGAUCUAGCUCGUGAUUUACCAAGGCAGGUUGUGGGUGAUAUUGCAUUGGCUCUUUCCUGGGUUUUCUUUCUUGUUUACUCAUGGAGAGAGAAGUAUGAUUAGC